GGGGCUGUGUCUCAGUGGUAAAGCAUCUACUUUGCAUGCAGAAAGUCCCAAGUUCAAUCUCUGGCAUCUCCA
rnacentral:tRNA from 1 species